GGGCCUAUGGCGCAACGGUAGCGCGUUUGACUCCAGAUCAAAAGGUUAUCCGUUCAAAUCGGGUUGGGCUCA